CAGCCGCCGCGGGAAUACGGAGGGAGCUAGCGUUGUUCGGAAUUACUGGGCGUAAAGCGCACGUAGGCGGCUUUGUAAGUUAGAGGUGAAAGCCUGGAGCUCAACUCCAGAAUUGCCUUUAAGACUGCAUCGCUUGAAUCCAGGAGAGGUGAGUGGAAUUCCGAGUGUAGAGGUGAAAUUCGUAGAUAUUCGGAAGGACACCAGUGGCGAAGGCGGCUCACUGGACUGGUAUUGACGCUGAGGUGCGAAAGCGUGGGGAGCAAACAGGAUUAGAUACCCGAGUAGUCCCUGUCUCUUAUAC
rnacentral:rRNA from 1 species